rnacentral:tRNA from 1 species
GGGCGUAAUGUGGCCUCUUGACCUGCUUUGCAAGCAGGAUGUCAGGAGUUCGAAUCUCCUAGGCUCCA